ACUAGAAGUGCCAUUUCUCAUCCCAGAAAGAAGUCAAUAUAAUAAUUGUGUAACUCAGAAAAACGAGAAAGAAGUCACUUUCUAGUUACAUAAAUAUGGAUAAAAGGAUUAGCAGUGAUUCUCAACUGGGCUCCAAAGAGAAAUUACAAAGGACAUAAAAAACUUUUGUGGGUGAUGGAUCUGUUUAUUAUCUUGAUUGUGGCAAUGGUUUCAUUGAAUAUAUGUGUAUGUCAAAACUUAUCAUAUUGUACACUUUAAAUAUGAGCAGUAUAUUGCAUGU
rnacentral:lncRNA from 1 species